UACGUAGGGUGCAAGCGUUAAUCGGAAUACUGGGCGUAAAGCGUGCGCAGGCGGUGAUGUAAGACAGUUGUGAAAUCCCCGGGCUCAACCUGGGAACUGCAUCUGUGACUGCAUCGCUGGAGUGCGGGCAGAGGGGGAUGGAAUUCCGCGUGUAGCAGUGAAAUGCGUAGAUAUGCGGAGGAACACCGAUGGCGAAGGCAAUCCCCUGGGCCUGCACUGACGCUCAUGCACGAAAGCGUGGG
rnacentral:rRNA from 1 species